GAGGAAUAUUGGUCAAUGGACGUGAGUCUGAACCAGCCAAAUCGCGUGAAGGAAGACUGCCCUACGGGCUGUAAACUUCUUUUGUACAGAAAUAAAUGACAUUACGUGUAAUGUAUUGCAUGUACUGUACGAAUAAGACUCGGCUAACUCCGUGCCAGCAGCCGCGGUAAUCCGGAGGAUGCGAGCGUUAUCCGGAUUUAUUGGGUUUAAAGGGUGGCGCAGGCGGGAUUUUAAGUCAGCGGUGAAAUUUUCAGGCUCAACCUGAACACUACCGUUGAAACUGGGAUUCUUGAGUAUGGAUGAAGUAGGCGGAAUUCGUUGUGUAGCGGUUACAUGCUUAGAUAUAACGAGGAACUCCGAUUGCGUAGGCAGAUUACUAAGCCAUAACUGACGCUCAAGCACGAAAGCGUGGGGAUCAAACA
rnacentral:rRNA from 1 species